AAGAAGGAAGCUGCCACAGCAAUAUGGUUUCGACCCAUAAAGUGAAUUAAUUUAUUCUCUUCUUU
rnacentral:tRNA from 1 species